UUAUCGCCACAACCGAUUCAGUAAGGAAAGUGGGAGAAUCCUUUUAUAUAUUACAAGUAUAUGAAGUACCUCUAUCCGUAUGAAUGUGAAAAGCGGGGACUGAGCUCUCCUGGCGAACUUCAAGCAGCAAUAGACAGCAACCGUCGGGAGAGCCGUAGGCAGAACUACAGUUCUACCAUCUUCAGCUAUUCUGUCGCAAGCCCACAGACUUCUCUCCCAACAACAACAAUACAGCCACAUGUACCAAUGCUUUCUCACCAAAGCAACUAUAUCACCCAGGCCCCUUCUGUCAAAAGAGAUGAUAGACAAGAGUCCGCAUUGAAUCUGUCUACCAACGGCAUUAACAGCAUCAACAUGUCAAUAGAAAUAAAUGGAGUUGUCUACACAGGUGUCCUAUUUGCCCAGCAGUCGACAGUGGCAGGGAUUAUGGAACACCGCAGGAAGCAGAGUAACACUCAGGGAAAGCCCAGGGCAACAUUUUUCCAACC